UGGACGAAAGUCUGACCGAGCAACGCCGCGUGAGUGAAGAAGGUUUUCGGAUCGUAAAGCUCUGUUGUAAGUCAAGAACGUGUGUGAGAGUGGAAAGUUCACACAGUGACGGUAGCUUACCAGAAAGGGACGGCUAACUACGUGCCAGCAGCCGCGGUAAUACGUAGGUCCCGAGCGUUGUCCGGAUUUAUUGGGCGUAAAGGGAGCGCAGGCGGUCAGGAAAGUCUGGAGUAAAAGGCUAUGGCUCAACCAUAGUGUGCUCUGGAAACUGUCUGACUUGAGUGCAGAAGGGGAGAGUGGAAUUCCAUGUGUAGCGGUGAAAUGCGUAGAUAUAUGGAGGAACACCAGUGGCGAAAGCGGCUCUCUGGUCUGUCACUGACGCUGAGGCUCGAAAGCGUGGGUAAGCGAACAGGAUUAGAUACCCUGGUAGUCCACGCCGUAAACGAUGAGUGCUAGGUGUUAGGCCCUUUCCGGGGCUUAGUGCCGGAGCUAACGCAAUAAGCACUCCGCCUGGGGAGUACGACCGCAAGGUUGAAACUCAAAGGAAUUGACGGGGGCCCGCACAAGCGGUGGAGCAUGUGGUUUAAUUCGAAGCAAC
rnacentral:rRNA from 1 species